rnacentral:rRNA from 1 species
UGGCGGACGGGUGAGUAAUGUCUGGGAAACUGCCCGAUGGAGGGGGAUAACUACUGGAAACGGUAGCUAAUACCGCAUAACGUCGCAAGACCAAAGAGGGGGACCUUAGGGCCUCUUGCCAUCGGAUGUGCCCAGAUGGGAUUAGCUAGUAGGUGGGGUAACGGCUCACCUAGGCGACGAUCCCUAGCUGGUCUGAGAGGAUGACCAGCCGCACUGGAACUGAGACACGGUCCAG